rnacentral:rRNA from 1 species
AGCGAACGCUGGCGGUAUGCUUAACACAUGCAAGUCGAGACGCGAAAGUGACUUCGGUCAUGAGUAGAGCGGCGGACGGGUGAGUAACACGUGGAUAAUCUGCCUUUAGGACUGGGAUAACCCUGGGAAACUAGGGCUAAUACCGGAUAAGACCACAGGUUCCAUGGAACCAGGGGUAAAAGGCGGCCUUCGGGCUGUCGCCGAAAGAUGAGUCCGCGUCCCAUCAGGUAGUUGGUGAGGUAACGGCUCACCAAGCCGAAGACGGGUAGCCGACCUUAGCGGGUGAUCGGCCACACGGGGACUGAGACACGGCCCCGACUCCUACGGGAGGCAGCAGUGGGGAAUCUUGGGCAAUGGGCGCAAGCCUGACCCAGCAAUACCGCGUGAGGGAUGAAGG